rnacentral:rRNA from 1 species
GACAGAGGGUGCAAACGUUGUUCGGAAUUACUGGGCGUAAAGCGCGUGUAGGCGGCCCUGCAAGUCGGAUGUGAAAUCCCACGGCUCAACCGUGGAAGUGCAUUCGAAACUGCAGGGCUAGAGUCCUGGAGAGGAAGGUGGAAUGCUUGGUGUAGAGGUGAAAUUCGUAGAUAUCAAGCGGAACACCGGUGGCGAAGGCGGCCUUCUGGACAGUGACUGACGCUGAGGCACGAAAGCCAGGGGAGCAAACGGG